rnacentral:rRNA from 1 species
GACGAACGCUGGCGGCGUGCCUAAUACAUGCAAGUAGGACGCAGUUGCGAACGGGUGAGUAACGCGUCGGUAACUGCCUAUUAGAGGGGGAUAACUAUUGGAAACGAUAGCUAAUACCGCAUACUAGUAGAUGGACCUGCGUUGUAUUAGCUAGUAGGUAGGGUAAUGGCCUACCUAGGCAACGAUACAUAGCCGGCCUGGGAGGGUGAUCGGCCACACUGGGACUGAGAAACGGGCCAGGCUGCUACGGGAGGCAGCAGUAGGGAAUCUUCGGCAAUGGGGUGAACCCUGACCGAGCAACGGCGCGUGAGUGGAGAAGGUUUUCGGAUCGUAAAGCUCUGUUGUUAAGGAAGCGGUACUUAACCAGAAAGGGACGGCUAACUACGUGCCAGCAGCCGCGGUAAUAC